rnacentral:rRNA from 1 species
UGGGGAAUUUUGGACAAUGGGGGAAACCCUGAUCCAGCCAUCCCGCGUGUGCGAUGAAGGCCUUCGGGUUGUAAAGCACUUUUGGCAGGAAAGAAACGUCAUGGGUUAAUACCCCGUGAAACUGACGGUACCUGCAGAAUAAGCACCGGCUAACUACGUGCCAGCAGCCGCGGUAAUACGUAGGGUGCAAGCGUUAAUCGGAAUUACUGGGCGUAAAGCGUGCGCAGGCGGUUCGGAUAGAAAGAUGUGAAAUCCCAGAGCUCAACUUUGGAACUGCAUUUUUAACUACCGGGCUAGAGUGUGUCAGAGGGAGGUGGAAUUCCGCGUGUAGCAGUGAAAUGCGUAGAUAUGCGGAGGAACACCGAUGGCGAAGGCAGCCUCCUGGGAUAACACUGACGCUCAUGCACGAAAGCGUGGGGAGCAAACAGG